rnacentral:rRNA from 1 species
UGGGGAAUUGUUCGCAAUGGGCGCAAGCCUGACGACGCAACGCCGCGUGGAGGAUGAAGAAUUUCGGUUCGUAAACUCCUUUCGAUCGGGACGAAUCGGUCACGGCCUAAUACGCCGUGGCACUGACGGUACCGAGAGAAGAAGCCCCGGCUAACUCCGUGCCAGCAGCCGCGGUAAUACGGGGGGGGCAAGCGUUGUUCGGAAUUACUGGGCGUAAAGGGCGCGUAGGCGGCCUGCUAAGUCGGACGUGAAAUCCCUCGGCCCAACCGAGGAACUGCGUCCGAUACUGGUGGGCUUGAAUCCGGGAGAGGGAUGUGGAAUUCCAGGUGUAGCGGUGAAAUGCGUAGAUAUCUGGAGGAACACCGGUGGCGAAGGCGGCAUCCUGGACCGGUAUUGACGCUGAGGCGCGAAAGCUAGGGGAGCAAACGG